UUGAUUUAAAUCAUUGUGGGUCUACACUUUGGAAAUAGAACAUAUACAAAGUGGUGAGACAUACAUUGAUUUCAUUCAA
rnacentral:pre_miRNA from 1 species